CUACGGGUUGCUCCAGUCGAGAAUAUUGGUCAAUGGGCGAAAGCCUGAACCAGCGACGUCGCGUGUAGGAUGAAGAUCUUCGGAUUGUAAACUACUUUUAUAAGGGAAGAAAUUAUUGACGGUACCUUAUGAAUAAGGGGUGACUAAAUUCGUGCCAGCAGUAGCGGUAAUACGAAUGCCCCGAGCGUUAUCCGGAUUAAUUGGGCGUAAAGGGUCCGUAGGCGGCAUAUUAAGUUUCCCGUUAAAUCUCUAGGGCUUAACCUUAGAGCUGCGGGAAAAACUGAUAAGCUAGAGGAUGUUAGGGGUUACUGGAAUGUCUGGUGGAGGGGUGGAAUCCGUUGAUAUCAGAUAGAACACCAAAAGCGAAGGCAAGUAACUGGAGCAAUCCUGACGCUGAGGGACGAAAGCGUGGGGAGAGAAAAGGAUUAGAUACCCCUGUAGUC
rnacentral:rRNA from 1 species